UGCCGGAUGGUGCAAUGGCUGCAUACCGGGUUCUGACCCCGGAGAUACAGGUUCAAGUCCUGUUCCGGUAA
rnacentral:tRNA from 2 species